rnacentral:rRNA from 1 species
AGCAGCCACGGUAAUUCCAGCUCCAAUAGCGUAUAUUAAAGUUGCUGCAGUUAGAAAGCUCGUAGUUGAAUUUCGGGGUUAGUAGGUUGGUCAUGCCUCUGGUAUGUACUGGUCUCACUGAUUCCUCCUUCCUGAUGAACCUUAAUGCCAUUAAUUUGGUGUUUUGGGGAAUUUGGACUGUUACUUUGAAAAAAUUAGAGUGUUUAAAGCAAGCUAACGCUUGAAUACAUUAGCAUGGAAUAAUGAAAUAGGACGUUCGAUCCUAUUUUGUUGGUUUCUAGGAUUGACGUAAUGAUUAAUAGGGAUAGUUGGGGGCAUUAGUAUUCAAUUGUCAGAGGUGAAAUUCUUGGAUUUAUUGAAGACUAACUACUGCGAAAGCAUUUGCCAACGAUGUUUUCAUUAAUCAAGAACGAAAGUUAGGGGAUCGAAGACGAUCAGAUACCGUCGUAGUCUUAACCAUAAACUAUGCCGACUAGGGAUCGGAUGAUGUUAAUUUUUUAAUGACUCA